UGCCUCAGUAACGGCGAGUGAAGCGGCAAAAGCUCAAAUUUUAAAGCUGGCAUCUUCGGUGUCCGCGUUGUAAUUUUGUGAGGCAUCUCCGGGUAGGGCGCCGGCCUAAGUUCCUUGGAACAGGACGUCACAGAGGGUGAGAAUCCCGUGCUUGGCUGGCUGUCCCCGUCCAUGUGAGGUGUCUUCGACGAGUCGAGUUGUUUGGGAAUGCAGCUCAAAAUGGGUGGUAAAUUUCAUCUAAAGCUAAAUAUUGGUGGGAGACCGAUAGCGCACAAGUAGAGUGAUCGAAAGAUGAAAAGCACUUUGAAAAUAGAGUUAAAAAGUACGUGAAAUUGUUGAAAGGGAAGCGCUUGAGACCAGACUUCGGUAGGGGGUGAUCAGCCGUCCUUCUGGGCGGUGCACUUGCCCCCCUCCGGGCCAGCAUCGGUUGAGGCGGCGGGAUAAAGGUCCCGGGAAUGUGACUCCUCUCAAGGGAGUGUUUAUAGCCCGGGUGAAUGCCGCCAGCUUCGACCGAGGACCGCGCCCGCAAGGGUUAGGAUGCUUGGCAUAAUGGUCUUCAGCGACCCGUCUUGAAACACGGACCAAGGAGUCUAACAUCUAUGCGAGUGUUUGGGUGUCAAACCCUUGCGCGAAAUGAAAGUGAACGGAGGUGGGAACCCGCAAGGGCGCACCAUCGACCGGUCCCGAAGUCUUCUGAAGGAUCUGAGUAUGAGCAUAGCUGUUGGGUACCCGAAAGAUGGUGAACUAUGCCUGAUAGGGUGACGCCAGAGAAACUCUGGUGGA
rnacentral:rRNA from 1 species